UCCGGCUUAUCACCGGCAGUCUCUCUAGAGUGCCCUUUCGUAGCAACUAGAGACAAGGGUUGCGCUCGUUGCGGGACUUAACCCAACAUCUCACGACACGAGCUGACGACAGCCAUGCAGCACCUGUGCGACGGUUCUCUUUCGAGCACCCCGACCUUUCAGCCAGGUUCCGUCCAUGUCAAGGGUAGGUAAGGUUUUUCGCGUUGCAUCGAAUUAAUCCACAUCAUCCACCGCUUGUGCGGGUCCCCGUCAAUUCCUUUGAGUUUUAAUCUUGCGACCGUACUCCCCAGGCGGGAUGCUUAAUGCGUUAGCGGCGCCACUGAAGAGCAAGCUCCCCAACGGCUAGCAUCCAUCGUUUACAGCGUGGACUAC
rnacentral:misc_RNA from 1 species